AGCGCAGGUGGUUGUAUAAGUCUGAAGUAAAAGGCAGUGGCUCAACCAUUGUGUGCUUUGGAAACUGUACAACUUGAGUGCAGAAGGGGAGAGUGGAAUUCCAUGUGUAGCGGUGAAACGCGUAGAUAUAUGGAGGAACACCGGUGGCGAAAGCGGCUCUCUGGUCUGUAACUGACACUGAGGCUCGAAAGCGUGGGAGCAAACA
rnacentral:rRNA from 1 species